rnacentral:lncRNA from 1 species
UUCGACAACGUCAUCCAGCGCGACAAGAAGCUCAAGCUGGUGCUCAAGCUCCGCAACAUCCUCGUCUCCAACCCGGACCGCGUCAUGAGCCUCCGCGACCUCGGCCGCUUCCGCCGCGACCUCGGCCUCACCCGCAAGCGCCGCCUCAUCGCGCUCCUCAAGCGGUUCCCGGGUGUCUUCGAGGUCGUCGAGGAGGGCGUCUACUCGCUCAGGUUCCGCCUUACCCCGGCCGCCGAGCGCCUCUACCUCGACGAGCUCCACCUCAAGAAUGAGUCCGAGGGCCUAGCCGUCACCAAGCUCCGCAAGCUCCUCAUGAUGUCGCAGGACAAGCGCAUCCUCAUUGAGAAGAUUGCGCACCUCAAGAACGAUCUUGGACUCCCGCCGGAGUUCCGCGACACUAUCUGCCUCAGGUACCCACAGUACUUCCGCGUCGUCCAGAUGGACCGAGGGCCAGGGCUGGAGCUCACUCAUUGGGACCCUGAAUUGGCGGUGUCGGCAGCGGAGGUUGCCGAGGAGGAGAAUCGAGCGAGGGAAGAACAAGAGAGGAAUCUGAUCAUUGACCGGCCACUCAAGUUUAAUCGGGUGAAGCUACCACAGGGGCUGAAAUUAUCAAGAGGGGAGGCGCGCAGGGUUGCGCAAUUCAAGGAAAUGCCAUACAUUUCGCCGUACUCUGACUUCUCGCAUCUGCGAUCCGGGUCGGCUGAGAAGGAGAAGCAUGCUUGCGGCGUAGUUCAUGAGAUUUUGAGCCUGACACUUGAGAAGCGCACGCUGGUGGAUCAUCUGACACACUUCCGGGAGGAAUUCCGGUUCUCGCAAUCUCUGCGUGGUAUGCUAAUUCGCCACCCAGACAUGUUUUACGUGU